ensembl:lncRNA
GACCCUCCCAGGUAGAUCUUGGUCAAGAUACCACCUGGAAGCGUGAGCGCUUGUUGCUCGAGGUCCCAGCCAGCAAGAAUAACCUGCGGACCCCAAACCGGUUUUUAAGCAAACGCAACUGAAUACAAACAGAUCUCUACAUUGAUGUCACACUUUCUUCCUUCUGCUGAAUAUGAUUCCUAGCAGCUGGGAUAUUAAGCCCCCAGAAUGGAGCUUGUGCGUCUGAGGCCCUGCCCCGGCACGUCAAGGUCACAGAGAGGAGGAGGCGGGCAGCCACUCAAUCAUGCACCAGGGCCAGCUCCCAGGUCCCCCGGUCUGGGAGAGACGCGUAGGAACCCUCAGGAAAGGAAAGCAAGAGCAUCUCACCAUCCUGCUGGGAAGCCCCAGGCUCCCUAGCACGUACCCUUGAAAUCACCAGGCGGUGUGCUCUGUGGACUCCUCCCGUCUGCCCAGAGACAUCCUUCCUGCCCCUGGAUGUCUGGUUGAAUCUCUCCAGAGGCCUUCCCUCACCCCUACCCUGAAGACCAGACGUCCGUGUUCUCUGAUACAGGGGCCUCAGCCUCAGCACUGGUGCCAUUUGGGGCCAGACGAUUUCUGUAGUGGGAGCUGCCGUGGGCAUUGUAAGAUGUUGGGCAGCGUCCCUCACCCCUCCCC